rnacentral:tRNA from 1 species
CCCUGGGCGGUGCACACAGUUAACAUGCUUGACUGCUAACCAAGAGGUUGGUGGUUCGAGUCCACCCAAAGGCA